rnacentral:rRNA from 1 species
UGAAGGGGGCACCGUAUCCAGNCAUGCCGCGUGAGUGAAGAUGGCCUUCGGGUUGUAAAGCUCUUUUGUCAGGGAAGAAACGGUUUUGGCUAAUAUCCAGAGCUAAUGACGGUACCUGAAGAAUAAGCACCGGCUAACUACGUGCCAGCAGCCGCGGUAAUACGUAGGGUGCAAGCGUUAAUCGGAAUUACUGGGCGUAAAGCGUGCGCAGGCGGUUUUGUAAGACUGUCGUGAAAUCCCCGGGCUCAACCUGGGAAUGGCGAUGGUGACUGCAAGGCUAGAGUUUGGCAGAGGGGGGUAGAAUUCCACGUGUAGCAGUGAAAUGCGUAGAUAUGUGGAGGAACACCGAUGGCGAAGGCAGCCCCCUGGGUCAAAACUGACGCUCAUGCACGAAAGCGUGGGGAGCAAACAGGAUUAGAUACCCUGGUAGUCCACGCCCUAAACGAUGUCUACUAGUUGUCGGGUCUUAAUUGACUUGGUAACGCAGCUAACGCGUGAAGUAGACCGCCUGGGGAGUACGGUCGCAAGAUUAAAACUCAAAGGAAUUGACGGGGACCCGCACAAGCGGUGG